CGUAUGCCGAACAUAUCAGGUUGGGUUUUUCAAUAUAUAUGUGUUGUCAACAAAUACCUGCACUGGAAAAUAACAUUAAGUCAGGGGUAAUCCGUAAUAUAUGUGUAAUUCAGGUCUCAGACAGGGUAUAUACUGUGACAUUCCCGGCUUAGGGCUUAUAUCCCCUUCGCCUUCGGCUCAGGGGAUAUAAACUCUAAGCCGGGAAUGUCACAGUAUAUACCCUGUCUGAGACCUGAAUAACAU
rnacentral:lncRNA from 1 species